rnacentral:rRNA from 1 species
AGAGUUUGAUCAUGGCUCAGAUUGAACGCUGGCGGCAGGCUUAACACAUGCAAGUCGAACGGAGUAUUGGUGCUUGCACCAAUAUUUAGUGGCGAACGGGUGAGUAAUGCCUAGGAAUCUGCCCAUUAGCGGGGGAUAACGUGUGGAAACGCACGCUAAUACCGCAUACGCCCUACGGGGGAAAGCAGGGGAUCUUCGGACCUUGCACUAAUGGAUGAGCCUAGGUCAGAUUAGCUAGUUGGUGGGGUAAAGGCCUACCAAGGCGACGAUCUGUAGCGGGUCUGAGAGGAUGAUCCGCCACACUGGGACUGAGACACGGCCCAGACUCCUACGGGAGGCAGCAGUGGGGAAUAUUGGACAAUGGGCGCAAGCCUGAUCCAGCCAUGCCGCGUGUGUGAAGAAGGCCUUUUGGUUGUAAGCACUUUAAGCGAGGAGGAGACUACCCUGACUAAUAAUUGGGAGUAGUGGACGUUACUCGCAGAAUAAGCACCGGCUAACUCUGUGCCAGCAGCCGCGGUAAUACAGAGGGUGCGAGCGUUAAUCGGAAUUACUGGGCGUAAAGCGCGCGUAGGCGGUUUAUUAAGUCGGAUGUGAAAUCCCUGAGCUUAACUUAGGAAUUGCAUUCGAUACUGGUAAGCUAGAGUAUGGGAGAGGAAGGUAGAAUUCCAGGUGUAGCGGUGAAAUGCGUAGAGAUCUGGAGGAAUACCGAUGGCGAAGGCAGCCUUCUGGCCUAAUACUGACGCUGAGGUGCGAAAGCAUGGGGAGCAAACAGGAUUAGAUACCCUGGUAGUCCAUGCCGUAAACGAUGUCAACUAGCCGUUGGGGGAUUUGAUCCUUUAGUGGCGCAGCUAACGCGAUAAGUUGACCGCCUGGGGAGUACGGUCGCAAGACUAAAACUCAAAUGAAUUGACGG